UGUUACAGAAUCUGUGAAUAUGUGCAUUAGUAGAUAUAGAGCUUAAUUAUAGGAAUUAAUUAUGGUAGACGCAGAUUUUAGGAUCUCAAUUAUAGGAAUCAAAUAUUCAGUUUCCUACUCUAGAAUACAUAAUGUGUAUAUAUAAACGUAUCUCUGUAAUAGUAAAAAUAUGAAUAAAAAUAUACUCUGAAUUUCAGUUUCUACAUGGUAUCAGAGCCUGGUUUGCCCAAGUGUGCAAAUUCAGAAAUUUCGUAGCCCUAGAGAGCAAUUUCGUAGUUCACCGGUGUAGAGUGACCAUUAGUUCUCACCGCCAUACUAGAAAGAAGUGCGCUUCGCCGAUCGUCAGGUUCCCAGAAUCCGGCCACCGGAAGCUCAGCGCGUGACCCACACGCGCCGCCUGUUCCUUCUGAAAACGAACACUCAGAUCUCCUUUUCUGUGGCGCGUUGAUUCUCACCGCCGGCACAGUCAGACUCAGACGACGCCGAUCGUUCAGAUCCCCAAUCUUCCGUGGCAUUUCGCCGUCGAACGCGCCGUUGCCGUCGCCGGAACAGUUGCUGUCGACGAAUCCCUCUUUCUGACCAGGGUAUUUUCACUAUUUAUUUUAUUCGGCUGUAUUGAGUACUAUUAUGACAGAUAUUAAACCGAUAACCAUGGCUGAGAUGGUUCCUGUAAUGUCAAAAAUCACUGAACACAAGCUUAAUGGUUCUAAUUAUCUGGAUUGGAGUAAAACGGUUCGAUUGUACUUGUUGAGUCUGGAGAAAGAUGAUCACCUUACACAAGCUCCUCCUACGGAUGGUACCAGACAAGCAUGGCUGCGAGAUGAUGCUCGAUUAUUUUUGCAGAUCCGGAAUUCUAUUGAAAGUGAG